GGCUGCUCCUCGGAGGGGAAGGGGCUGCUGGGGCCACUGGGGAGACUGUGGAUGCUGAGGGAGCUGCCUCGGCCCUCGCCCUGGCCCUGGGGCCCCGCCGUGCUGCUCAGCUCUGCGAGGGGAUGGACAAGUACAGACUGGGGAGACUGAGGCCCUGAGUUCUCUCUAAGUAAACCCACAGAGAGCCCUGGCUGCCCGGCCCUUCAGCCUGAGUCAGCUCUGUGUAACUGACUCCCAACACCAAGCUGGACUCCAGCUGGCUGCUUGGAGAAGAUGAAGUCCUAAGGGAUGGUAGAGGCACAAGAAGGAAGAAGCCUGGGUCUCUGCAUUAGCAAAAGGAGGCAAGCCACUCAUCAACCAGGAACACCAGUUUUGGACUUCUAA